GAUGAACGCUGGCGGCGUGCCUAAUACAUGCAAGUCGAGCGAACAGACGAGGAGCUUGCUCCUCUGACGUUAGCGGCGGACGGGUGAGUAACACGUGGAUAACCUACCUAUAAGACUGGGAUAACUUCGGGAAACCGUAGCUAAUACCGGAUAAUAUAUUGAACCGCAUGGUUCAAUAGUGAAAGACGGUUUUGCUGUCACUUAUAGAUGGAUCCUCGCCGCAUUAGCUAGUUGGUAAGGUAACGGCUUACCAAGGCGACGAUGCGUAGCCGACCUGAGAGGAUGGUCGGCCAACCUGGAACUGAGACCGGGCCCAACCGCAUACGGGAGGCGCCCGUAGGGAUUCUUGCGCAAUGGGCGAAGGCCUGAGGGAGAAACGCCGAGUGAGUGAUGAAGGUCUUCGGAUCGUAAAAUUCUGUUAUUAGGAAAGAAAAAAUGUGUAAGUAACUAUGCACGUCUUGACGGUACCUACUCAGAAAGCCACGGCUAACUACGUG
rnacentral:rRNA from 1 species